UACGAAGGGGGCUAGCGUUGCUCGGAAUCACUGGGCGUAAAGCGCACGUAGGCGGAUUGUUAAGUCAGGGGUGAAAUCCUGGAGCUCAACUCCAGAACUGCCUUUGAUACUGGCGAUCUUGAGUCCGGGAGAGGUGAGUGGAACUGCGAGUGUAGAGGUGAAAUUCGUAGAUAUUCGCAAGAACACCAGUGGCGAAGGCGGCUCACUGGCCCGGUACUGACGCUGAGGUGCGAAAGCGUGGGGAGCAACAGGAUUAAGAU
rnacentral:rRNA from 1 species